AACCCAUGGUGAGAGCACCUUCUCAAUAGGUCAUUGUAUCUCUCCCAUGCAUCAUAGAGUGUCUCUAGAUCCAUCUUUACAAAAGAAGUUAUAUCAUUUGUAACACC
rnacentral:snoRNA from 1 species